rnacentral:rRNA from 1 species
AUACGGAGGGUGCAAGCGUUAAUCGGAAUUACUGGGCGUAAAGCGUACGUAGGCGGUUCGUUAAGUUAGAUGUGAAAGCCCCGGGCUUAACCUGGGAACUGCAUUUAAAACUGGCGAACUAGAGUUGAGUAGAGGGGAGUGGAAUUUCAGGUGUAGCGGUGAAAUGCGUAGAGAUCCGAAGGAACACCAGUGGCGAAGGCGACUCCCUGGACUCGAACUGACGCUGAGGUACGAAAGCGUGGGUAGCAAACGGGAUUAGAAACCCUAGUAGUCC